GACCUGAUGGCAUAGUGGUUAGUGCAUCUGCUUCAAUUAAAAAUCAUCAGUGGCAGUUAGGCAGAAGGUCCCCCCGUUCGACUCGGGGUCAGGUCA